GCGACUGUGGCGAAAUCGGUAGACGCCCGAGACUUAAAAUCUUGUGCCAGCAAUGGCGUGCCGGUUCGAGUCCGGCCAGUCGCACCA
rnacentral:tRNA from 1 species